AUGUGAAUGGUGGGCCAGUAUGGAGUCAGCUCCCAUCACCUGCUUGCUGUCUGUCCAGUAGCUCCACCCUUCCCAUUUUCUCUCUCUCCUUCUGUCAGCAAUGAGAGUCCCCUUUUUUUCUGGGCUUCAUUACCCUGUGGCUGAUGCUGAAGAAAAUAUAGAUUCUUGAGAUGUUAGCAAAUGGGGACCAGCAGCGGAGACCCAAAGCAGCACAUUUACAGAGCAAAGUCUGCAUCCCGUGCCUGAGUUUUGCUCUUGAAAAGCAGGCUGCAGAUCAGCGGGCUCAACCCCACCCAGAGAGGCCGACACACGGGCCGGCAGGAUGCUCCACACCCAGCCUCACAGACAGAGCCCAAGAAAUAGCGGCUGACGGGGAAAUCAAGUCCUGGAGAGGAUCCUGGAGGAAGUCACACGGCUGGGCUGGGACAAGAGCCCACAUGUCCCCACCCAGUUUCACCCUCUUGCCACAACUGUACUUCCUGGAUUUUUGUCUGUCCCAUACUGUGCAUAUUAGAGGUCAAUGGUUCCCGGGAUGGCCCUGAGGACACAGCAAGGAGAAGGUGGUCUCGGAGUUGGGAGCUGCUUCAACGUGUCUGAAAGAGGUCUUCAACUACGUCCAUUUUGACCUCAGUCUGAACUUUCUAAUUGAUUAAAUUCUUUCCAGCUUAUCUCUUAACUCAGGAAGAAGACCCUGUGGACAAAGCAUCCCUUAAUGGGAACUAAAACUAUCCCCUCAAGCAAUAGGGACUGCUGACACCUGACUCUUGACUGACCCCAAAACAAUGAUGGACCUGACCUGUACUGCCCACCUGUACCUACCAAUCUUAGUCCCACAUUUUCCUUAUGUAAACCUACAAGCACCUUGAGGACACUAGUCCACUGUCUUCCUUGUGUUGGCCUCACUGAAAUAAAUUCUUUUCUUGUUUUACCUCCA